rnacentral:rRNA from 1 species
AGUGAACGCUGGCGGUAGGCCUAACACAUGCAAGUCGAACGGCAGCACAGUAAGAGCUUGCUCUUACGGGUGGCGAGUGGCGGACGGGUGAGGAAUACAUCGGAAUCUACUUUUUCGUGGGGGAUAACGUAGGGAAACUUACGCUAAUACCGCAUACGACCUACGGGUGAAAGCAGGGGAUCUUCGGACCUUGCGCGAUUGAAUGAGCCGAUGUCGGAUUAGCUAGUUGGCGGGGUAAAGGCCCACCAAGGCGACGAUCCGUAGCUGGUCUGAGAGGAUGAUCAGCCACACUGGAACUGAGACACGGUCCAUACUCCUACGGGAGGCAGCAGUGGGGAAUAUUGGACAAUGGGCGCAAGCCUGAUCCAGCCAUACCGCGUGGGUGAAGAAGGCCUUCGUGUUGUAAAGCCCUUUUGUUGGGAAAGAAAAGCAGCAGGUUAAUACCCCGCUGUUCUGACGGUACCCAAAGAAUAAGCACCGGCUAACUUCGU